UAAACUGGAGAUAAUAAUAAUACCUCUGUCACAGGAUGGUUGUGGAUAUUGAGUAAGACAAUACAUGUGCCUCUGAAACUUUAAUGUGCAUACAAAUCUCUUUAAAGUGCAGAUUCUGGGGUGCCCCCUGCGGUUCUGCUUGUCUAACAAGCUCCCAGUGGUGCUGGAGAUGCUGGCCCACAGACCACAUCUUUUAUAUUGAGGUUGUAAAGCACUGAGAACAAUGCCUGGCAUACGGUAGGCACUAAAUAAAUUUGGCUAUUAUGUUUGCACACCGUUGAGGUGGCAGGGAAAAGAUGAAAACCAACAAUUUUCUCUCCUUUUCUAUCAGAUGUUUCCUGACAAUACUUCCAUCUUGAAUAGAAUCCAAUAGGAUUCCGAGCUCAAGUGACAAAUGUAGAUAUGGAUGAAACGGCUUCAUUUUCUCAAUCUGACAAGAGCAGCCCUCGGGUGUCUCUUUGGAUUUAUAGUUUUAGGCUGUGUCAAAGGACUCUGCACAGUAGGCAUUCAUUUACUGGAUGAAAAAAAAAAAAAUGUCCAGACUGUCUCAAUAAACAUCCUUCUAGGAAUUAACAGUGCUGCUGCAGUUUGGUUUUAUUUUAAUACCGUGGCAUGGUUGCCUAAUCAUUAUUUCAAGAAUGUGGCAAUUGUGUUCUAAAAUCUAAAGUAUGUUGUUUUAGUCUUAGAGCGUUAGAUUCUAAUGCCCUGCAGACUAGCUCCACUACUUCAGGCUUCCUGUGCCCUUCAGCCCAGACUUUACGUGCUAACAGUGCCCUCUACUGCUCAGGAGCAGAUCUUUGCUCCUAAAUCCGACCAAGAAAACGGGACUCGCUUACCACACGGAAGCGGUUGGCGUCCGCCUUUAAAGGAGAGAGGGUGGCAGUGCAGCAGCUGUCCACGCCGCGGAGAGCUGGUCGGUUAGCUGUACUGUCUUCCACCCGCCAAACCAUGAUGCUCUUUUGGAGAAAUAUACGGGGACACAAACCAGCCGUCAGGUGAAAGGCACUGCCUGCCGAGCAGAACAGCUCUUCCUUCACUGUGAUUGGAGCCUUUCAUUUGUAGCACCGUCUCAGCUUUCUUCCCAUGCCUUUGAGUACACACAGCUGUGCAACUGUCACCAUAAUCUUUUUCCAAAUUAAAUUAAAUUUAAUUAUUUUACUUCA